UAGUGGCGAACGGGUGAGUAACACGUGGGCAAUCUGCCCUUCACUCUGGGACAAGCCCUGGAAACGGGGUCUAAUACCGGAUAAUACUCCUGCCUGCAUGGGCGGGGGUUGAAAGCUCCGGCGGUGAAGGAUGAGCCCGCGGCCUAUCAGCUUGUUGGUGGGGUAAUGGCCCACCAAGGCGACGACGGGUAGCCGGCCUGAGAGGGCGACCGGCCACACUGGGACUGAGACACGGCCCAGACUCCUACGGGAGGCAGCAGUGGGGAAUAUUGCACAAUGGGCGAAAGCCUGAUGCAGCGACGCCGCGUGAGGGAUGACGGCCUUCGGGUUGUAAACCUCUUUCAGCAGGGAAGAAGCGAAAGUGACGGUACCUGCAGAAGAAGCGCCGGCUAACUACGUGCCAGCAGCCGCGGUAAUACGUAGGGCGCAAGCGUUGUCCGGAAUUAUUGGGCGUAAAGAGCUCGUAGGCGGCUUGUCACGUCGGAUGUGAAAGCCCGAGGCUUAACCUCGGGUCUGCAUUCGAUACGA
rnacentral:rRNA from 1 species